UACGUGAACUUUGCGGUCGGCCA
rnacentral:ncRNA from 2 species